rnacentral:rRNA from 1 species
AGAGUUUGAUCCUGGCUCAGGAUGAACGCUGGCGGCGUGCUUAACACAUGCAAGUCGAGCGAAGCAGUUAAGAAGAUUCUUCGGAUGAUUCUUAACUGACUGAGCGGCGGACGGGUGAGUAACGCGUGGGUGACCUGCCCCAUACCGGGGGAUAACAGCUGGAAACGGCUGCUAAUACCGCAUAAGCGCACAGAGCUGCAUGGCUCGGUGUGAAAAACUCCGGUGGUAUGGGAUGGGCCCGCGUCUGAUUAGGCAGUUGGCGGGGUAACGGCCCACCAAACCGACGAUCAGUAGCCGGCCUGAGAGGGCGACCGGCCACAUUGGGACUGAGACACGGCCCAAACUCCUACGGGAGGCAGCAGUGGGGAAUAUUGCACAAUGGGGGAAACCCUGAUGCAGCGACGCCGCGUGAGCGAAGAAGUAUUUCGGUAUGUAAAGCUCUAUCAGCAGGGAAGAUAAUGACGGUACCUGACUAAGAAGCCCCGGCUAACUACGUGCCAGCAGCCGCGGUAAUACGUAGGGGGCAAGCGUUAUCCGGAUUUACUGGGUGUAAAGGGAGCGUAGACGGCAAGGCAAGUCUGAUGUGAAAACCCAGGGCUUAACCCUGGGACUGCAUUGGAAACUGUCUGGCUCGAGUGCCGGAGAGGUAAGCGGAAUUCCUAGUGUAGCGGUGAAAUGCGUAGAUAUUAGGAGGAACACCAGUGGCGAAGGCGGCUUACUGGACGGUAACUGACGUUGAGGCUCGAAAGCGUGGGGAGCAAACAGGAUUAGAUACCCUGGUAGUCCACGCCGUAAACG